rnacentral:pre_miRNA from 1 species
UAGCUCAUCUGUCGUUGUUUGUAGGUGCAGCACCAUCAAGAUUCACAUGAAAAUUGAUAAAUCUCCUAAAUUAGGGUUUUGAUAUGUAUAUGAGAAUCUUGAUGAUGCUGCAUCAACAAUCGACGGCUACAAAAUACCUAAAGCUG